AGAAUCAACGCUGGCGGCGUGCCUAACACAUGCAAGUCGCACGAGAAAGGGGAGCAAUCCCUGAGUAAAGUGGCGCACGGGUGAGUAACACGUGAAUGAUCUACCUCCGAGUGGGGAAUAACUGAGAGAAAUCCUAGCUAAUACCGCAUAACACUUACGAGUCAAAGCAGCAAUGCGCUUGGAGAGGAGUUCGCGGCCGAUUAGCUAGGUUGGCGGGGUAAUGGCCACCAAGGCGAUGAUCGGUA
rnacentral:rRNA from 1 species